GUCUGCAGUUAUAUCACUCUGCAACUCACAACUAGCAACACUGAAGCUAAGCAGGUGUGAGCCUGUUCAGUACCUGGGUAGGAGACCUCCUGGGAAAAGCUAAGGUUGCUGCUGGAA
rnacentral:rRNA from 1 species